UUUCUGUCAAGGCCCAGCUCAUAUUGUUUUGCAGGUAGAGGUGGAGAGUCUCCCGACUCUUCACAUAUCACAGCCUUCGCGUACGUCUUUGUAACGGCUUCAAUUAUCUUCAGGUUAUAUUAAUCCAUCCAUUUACUCCUAUUCUCUCUAACUAAAUCGGCCAUAGCAUCCUCCUCUGUAAUAGACUGCUUCACCUAUCAAUGUCUCCACUGCUUGGGAUGAACAGUCCUACCAAAACCGAAAUCCCAAAUCCCAAAGGUCUCUCUCUCUCUCUCAAGCAUCAAAUCCAUCAGUGGCAGAAUUUGUUUACUCUGCUCGCCGAUUUAACUACGCCGAGCAACGACCGUGUUUUAUUAAAGCUUUGUUACACAGAGCUGCUCACUUAGGAAUGAAUCAGUUCAAGGAUGUUAUCAACGUUUACUUUAUACGAAGGGGCUUGCCAUUGAUCCAAGCAACGUAGCGUACACAAUCAUGUUUGGCAGACCCUUAAGGUUUUGUGUCUGACACGCCAUCAUGGAUCCAUUUGGAUGUGUUGGAGAAACUAAUAACGGACUAUUCAGCGACAUGUUUUUUUUUGUGAAGCCACUUGAUUUCCUAAACAUUUGGAUUUAGGCGGGUGAAGCAGCGGUGGAUCAGGAGGAUAAGAUUGUUGUGCCUCCAAGGAAGGAGCAUGAGGUAGAGAAGAAACAAGAACCGAAGCAUGAACCUGAGCCGGACUUUGGAGAAUAAAGAGAGGAAGAUAAAAGCUUUGAAGGAAAAAGAUGGAGAAUUCGGCAUACAAUGACUUCAAAACACUAUAAAGAAUUACUCAAAGCCAUGGAAAUUAUUGUUGAAUAUAUAUCUUUAUCACAAAUCAUCCUGCUGUAAUCUGGAGAUGGCAAAGUAUGAUGAGUGCAUCAAGGAUUGUGAUAAGGCUGUUGAAAAAGUCUAU